GCUAAAGAAGCUUUACUUUCUCUUUUCUUAUUUUAAGGAAACAGAAUCAAGCGUGCUGAUGCUUCUUAAAUGCCUCAAUCAAGUAGCCAUGACCAGAAAGGCCCAUUCAUCCUUUUACACCUUCAACCGCAGCCUUCUUCAGAAGGCAGCUUAGCAUUUGCCAUACUGGCUGAACAAAUGCAGCAGAAGCUAGGUGAGAUAGCCGCUUUUAUUGAACAACACACUUAAUAAUGAAUUAACAAAUAAAUGAAUGAAUGAACAUUAAAGAAAUUCAUUCACAGCAAACACCACUGCAGUUAAUAUGCUGCCAUUCGCAGGGGGCUGUUGACAGGGCAUCUAGCAGAGCAGAGCCCUCCCUGGAUUGAUCAGUUGUGUGUGUGUGUGUUUUUUCCAGGGCUCUGCCUUGGAGCAAAUCAAUGAAGAACCUAAAGUACCAUUUCUAUAUUUCUCCCUGUCUCCUUCCAGUUAACUUGAUGAAAGGGUUUUGGAGAUUUCCUCCCUUCCUUGCUCUAAUAAAUUCUCUCAUGGCUUUUUUAAUUGUUGCUUUUUUUACCUUUCUCGGGGAAUGAUGAUCAAUUACUGCAUUCAGCUAGCUGAUGGCUGACAAAUUCUAUUUGACAUAAUACAG
rnacentral:lncRNA from 1 species